CCUACGGGAGGCAGCAGUGGGGAAUAUUGCACAAUGGGGGAAACCCUGAUGCAGCGACGCCGCGUGCGUGAAGAAGUAAUUCGUUACGUAAAGCUCUAUCAGCAGGGAAGAAAAUGACGGUACCUGCGUAAGACGCCCCGGUUAACUCCGUGCCAGCCGCCGCGGGACUACGUAGGGGGCAAGCGUUAUCCGGAAUUACUGGGUGGAAAGGGAGCGUAGACGGUGAUGCAAGUCGGGAGGGAAAGGCGGGGGCCAAACCCCCGGACUGCUCUGGAAACUGGGUAACUUGAGUGCAGGAGGGGUAAGCGGAAUUCCUAGUGUAGCGGUGAAAUGCGUAGAUAGUAGGAGGAACACCAGUGGCGAAGGCGGCAUACUGGACUGUAACUGACGUUGAGGCUCGAAAGCGUGGGGAGCAAACAGGAUUAGAUACCCCUGUAGUC
rnacentral:rRNA from 1 species